rnacentral:misc_RNA from 1 species
UUUCCGUAGGUGAACCUGCGGAAGGAUCAUUCAUAAUAAAGUGUUUUAUGGCACUUUUUAAAAAUCCACAUCCACCUUGUGUGCAAUGUUAGAUCUCGUCAAUCUUGGCGAGAUUUUUAUACAUCAACUCAUUCUUUAACUAAUUUGUCUGAAAAAUAUUAUGAAUACUUAAUUCAAAAUACAACUUUCAACAACGGAUCUCUUGGCUCUC